AAACAAAAAGUGUCUUUUCUAUGAAAUAAAGUUAAAAUAGUAAAUGUUGUAGUUUUCUGAUAUGGAAGAAAUGUCACUGGCUAAGGUUUGUACAUCUGCAGAUUUGUGGGGAAAGAAAUUGUGCUUUUACUGUAUGGCAGCACAAGAAACAUAUACUUUGUAAAGAAAGAAAGCGAAGGAAGCAUAGAAGAAGUAACAACUGAUCUGCCAAAUGCGGAACAAAAUUAGUGACAAGGCAAGAGGGAGUUCCCCCUCUCCUAUUUGGUUACGCAAUAUUAGAUGACGAGCGUGUUGGCGCGGUAAUCAAAAAGUGGAAUCUACAACGACGUAAAAAAAUAUUUUAUUGUAAAAAAUGUCACUGAAUUCUACAUGUGU